UCGAAACAAAGUAGGCUUAUUGGAAAGUGAGCCUAAA
rnacentral:rRNA from 1 species